UUACAAUUAUAAAAUAAUUUAAUAAUCUGUCAUAAAAACCUAAUUAUUACACAAUGUACUACUACAAUAAAUUAUCUAAUACACUUUUUAAGUAGUAUUGAAUCUAUAACAACCUUUGGUAACUUGUGGUAUAAAUUAACUAGUGUCUGUCUAUCCUGACUACUGAUACAUGCAUUAUGUCCCUGUCCUUUCGUAUAUUACUAUGGUAAAUAGUAAAUGAAUUGACAUGUUUCAUAAACAUACUUUUUCAAAUGUAAAACAAAAUAUUCUUAUUCAAAAUACAUUUUUGUCAUUUCUUCUCUGGUAGAGAGUGGUCUCAUUGUUCUGUGUUCACAAUUAAUUCAAAUUCGAUUUGCAUUAACUAAUUCCAAUUUGUAUUAACAAAAACGGAAUUCUAAUUCUAAUGCUAAUUGGAUAAUGCGAUAAAGCCAAUUCGAAUCAAUUCAAAUUAAACCAGGUGCUCCGCAGGGCGCAGCUUUAUACGACCGCAGAGGUCGAACCCUGAACAGUUGGGGCAAGUAUGGACAAAACAUUCAAGC
rnacentral:lncRNA from 1 species